rnacentral:rRNA from 1 species
UACGAAGGGGGCUAGCGUUGCUCGGAAUUACUGGGCGUAAAGGGAGCGUAGGCGGACAGUUAAGUCAGUGGUGAAAGCCCAGGGCUCAACCCUGGAAUUGCCUUUGAUACUGAUUGUCUUGAGUAUGGGAGAGGUAUGCGGAACUCCGAGUGUAGAGGUGAAAUUCGUAGAUAUUCGGAAGAACACCAGUGGCGAAGGCGGCAUACUGGCCCAUACUGACGCUGAAGCUCGAAAGCGUGGGGAGCAACAGGAUUAGAU